ACAAACAAGGAAAAUUGUGGCAAGGCUGGAAGGCUGAGUCAGCAGACUCCAGCCCGCCAUCCAGGGAACAGCAUGUAAUGACACACAGAUAAAGCCAUGGAACAUGUGGCAACAUAUGGAUUAACUGAAAUGGGCUGAGUUUUAGUGUCAAAUUUAUAG